rnacentral:rRNA from 1 species
GAUGAACGCUGGCGGCGUGCUUAACACAUGCAAGUCGAACGGAAAGGCCCAAGCUUGCUUGGGUCCUCGAGUGGAGAACGGGUGAGUAACACGUGGGUGAACUGCCCUGCACUUCGGGAUAAGCCUGGGAAACUGGGUCUAAUAUCGGAUAGGACGAUGGUUUGGAUGACAUUGUGGAAAGUUUUUUCGGUGUGGGAUGAGCUCGCGGCCUACCAGCUUGUUGGUGGGGUAAUGGCCUACCAAGGCGUCGACGGGUAGCCGGCCUGAGAGGGUGUACGGCGACAUUGGGACUGAGAUACGGCCCAGGCUCCUACGGGAGGCAGCAGUGGGGAAUAUUGCACAAUGGGCGCAAGCCUGAUGCAGCGACGCCGCGUGGGGGAUGACGGCCUUCGGGUUGUAGACUCCUUUCGCUAGGGACGAGGCGUUUUUGUGACGGUACCUGGAGAAGAAGCACCGGCUAACUACGUG